UACGUAGGUCCCGAGCGUUGUCCGGAUUUAUUGGGCGUAAAGCGAGCGCAGGUGGUUUAUUAAGUCUGGUGUAAAAGGCAGCGGCUCAACCAUUGUAUGCAUUGGAAACUGGUAGACUUGAGUGCAGGAGAGGAGAGUGGAAUUCCAUGUGUAGCGGUGAAAUGCGUAGAUAUAUGGAGGAACACCGGUGGCGAAAGCGGCUCUCUGGCCUGUAACUGACACUGAGGCUCGAAAGCGUAGGGAGCAAACAGG
rnacentral:rRNA from 1 species